rnacentral:rRNA from 1 species
AGUGAACGCUGGCGGUAGGCCUAACACAUGCAAGUCGAACGGCAGCACAGUAAGAGCUUGCUCUUACGGGUGGCGAGUGGCGGACGGGUGAGGAAUACAUCGGAAUCUACUUUUUCGUGGGGGAUAACGUAGGUAAACUUACGCUAAUACCGCAUACGACCUACGGGUGAAAGCAGGGGAUCUUCGGACCUUGCGCGAUUGAAUGAGCCGAUGUCGGAUUAGCUAGUUGGCGGGGUAAAGGCCCACCAAGGCGACGAUCCGUAGCUGGUCUGAGAGGAUGAUCAGCCACACUGGAACUGAGACACGGUCCAGACUCCUACGGGAGGCAGCAGUGGGGAAUAUUGGACAAUGGGCGGAAGCCUGAUCCAGCCAUACCGCGUGGGUGAAGGAGGCCUUCGGGUUGUAAAGCCCUUUUGUUGGGAAAGAAAAGCAGCAGGUUAAUACCCCGCUGUUCUGACGGUAACCAAAGAAUAAGCACCGGCUAACUUCGUG